AGCAACAGGAAAACAAAAAGACAUAGACAAUACAGGUGCUAAAAAUAAAGCCUCUUUUGCAACCCAGAACUCAUUGCUCAGUAUGAGUUUUGAUACAUAUAAGAAGGAACAUG